UACGUAGGGUGCAAGCGUUGUCCGGAUUUAUUGGGCGUAAAGAGCGUGUAGGCGGCUAGGUAGGUCCGUUGUGAAAACUCGAGGCUCAACCUCGAGACGUCGAUGGAAACCAUCUGGCUAGAGUCCGGAAGAGGAGAGUGGAAUUCCUGGUGUAGCGGUGAAAUGCGCAGAUAUCAGGAAGAACACCCGUGGCGAAGGCGGCUCUCUGGUACGUGACUGACGCUGAGACGCGAAAGCGUGGGGAGCGAACAGG
rnacentral:rRNA from 1 species